rnacentral:rRNA from 1 species
AGUGAACGCUGGCGGUAGGCCUAACACAUGCAAGUCGAACGGCAGCACAGUAAGAGCUUGCUCUUACGGGUGGCGAGUGGCGGACGGGUGAGGAAUACAUCGGAAUCUACUUUUUCGUGGGGGAUAACGUAGGGAAACUUACGCUAAUACCGCAUACGACCUACGGGGGAAAGCAGGGGAACUUCGGACCUUGCGCGAUUGGAUGAGCCGAUGUCGGAUUAGCUAGUUGGCGGGGUAAAGGCCCACCAAGGCGACGAUCCGUAGCCGGUCUGAGAGGAUGAUCAGCCACCCUGGAACUGAGACACGCUCCAGACUCCUACGGGAGGCAGCAGUGUGGAAUAUUGGACAAUGGGCGCAAGCCUGAUCCAGCCAGACCGCGUGGGUGAAGAAGGCCUUCGGGUUGUAAAGCCCUUUUGUUGGGAAAGAAAAGCAGCAGGUUAAUACCCCGCUGUUCUGACGGUACCCAAAGAAUAAGCACCGGCUAACUUCGUG